CACUUGAAAUUACUGAAAUGGAGGAGCUUGAGCAGAUUGAAUUCGUAAAACGUGCUGCUGCAUGGGAGAUGUUUUCAUAAAACAUAUAAACGUGAAGAAAUUAGAAUCCAAGCUUGGGAAAGUCAGCAGAAAGUGAAACUAGAGUCAGAGAUGCAGAGAAUAGAGGCUCGAGAUGAAAAAAUGCGAGACCAAGCACAUGCGAAGAUGGUGAAGAAGAUUGCUAUGACAAGACAGAGAUUGGAAGAAAAACAAGCUGCUGCUGAAGCCAGAAAAAAUCUUGCAUGUUGCAGAUGAAUACGUCAAAGUGCUUCGUUUCUGUUGAGUAAGAUGAAUUUCUUUCAGAUAUCAAGUAUGAACUCAAAGAAACUGGAUUCACAGGCCUUUCAGUAAAACAAGUACACGAGAGAACUGCCCUUCAUCCGAACCUCAUGAGUUCUUAUUCAAGUGAAGCUUGUAGGGCAGGCUUGCUCAGCUGAGACAACAAAGAGCUGUGGAUCUGAAACCAAAACUAUGGCAUCCAACUGCUCUCAGCAGCAGGCAAAGCUUCCCAUGUCAUUACUCCCAUUUUGAACCUGAACCCCAGCACCAGUGUCUUUUUUGUUUCCGCAUCUUGGGAUUCCAUGCAACACGCACAAUCUCAUGUCUCUUCAGUUCACAUUCCUAGGAAAGGAGGGAAGGCCUCUUCAGGUUUGCAAAACGAAUCUGCUGAGAACAGAAAAAUAACAAAUGCCAGUCUAUUGUUUGCCACAUUCUUGGACUUCAGUUACGUUCAGAUCUUAUCAGUCAGGGAAAAUCAAUAUUUUUC